UAUCCCGAUAUUUCCAUCGAAAUUUCCGUGUUUUUGGACUACCGAUAUUUCCGAUAUCAUCGAUAUUUAAUACCUUGGCUAUGACUAUUCAGUUUAGGAGUGGAGAUGCAAAAGAUAAUUACUAUUCAUUAAAGACAAUUACUAUUCACUGAAAAUGAUUGAAUUGCCUAUUGCCAAGGGAAGCCUUUACACACUGGAAGUGCUCUCAAGACGUUGUUGAAGGAUAGUGAUGGAAUUGGGUCAACAAAUAAAGUCUCAAGCUAAUGACUAAUGUCAUAAAAAUAAUUGUUCAUUGAUCUCUGACUAAUUAGUAAAUAUUUCAUUGAAUUUUGGCAAAAUAGUCUUUAAAUAUAAACUCCCUCUCAUCGCAUUCACAAUUCUUAAUCAUUGGACCAGUAAUUUGAAUAUACAAAUGUUCUUCCAAACUUUUUAAUAAUAUAUGUAUAUUUUUGGUUUUUGUCACAACUAGUCUAUGAGACCCAAUUCUUCAAUUUGGUUCAACAAUUUUAAAAUCGAUCAAUUCCGUUCUUGAAUUUUAUUAGUGCACAUCAAUUUGUAUAGUGAGGGUACACUUCUGGGAUCAGGUUGUGGUAUUAUAUUAAGUUGUCAUUAACCUGCUACACCUCAACCUACAAUGUUGUUAUAAUGAAGCAUUGACGAAAAGUGGUUUUUACACUAUUUGAUGAUUUUAUUUAAGAAUAAAUUGUAGCAAUGGUCUUUCAACUAAAAAUCCAUUAUCAUUGGUCUCUCAACUUAUCAAAAUGUGUAGCUAUAGUCAUUUUCAUCAAUUUCGUCAAAAUUUUGUCAAAAUAAGUUAUGUUGAAAUAACCAUUUAUAUAAUUAGGGUCCCUCAACUCAUCAAAGUGUCUAAUCAUGGUCAUUUUUGUCAACUACGUCAAAAUUUUUGUCAAAAUGAUUUAUGUUGGAAGGACCAUUGCUACAAUGGGUUAAAGUUAAAGGACAAUUUCUCCAGUUUAAUUAAAGUUGAGGGACCAAUGGUAAUGAAUUUUUAGUUGAGGGAUUAUAGCUGCACGUUUUGAUGAGUUAAGGAACCAAUGGUAAUGGAUUUUUAGUUGAGGGAUCAUUGCUCCAAUUGAGUUAAAGUUAAGGGACCAUAACUACAAUUUACUCUUUAUUUAAUUAAUUGCAGCAAUGAACAUUAUCAUAUACUAAUAUCUAUCUCAUGUGAUUCUUUGUAGGAAAAGUAGUAUCUACAUUGUCAAAAUUUCGACACGAAUCAAUAAAUUCCUCACCCAAACGGACCAAAUAUUAAUUAGGAGUUAGUUAUUCUAAGAAGAUAUUUUGAGACCAGUUGUUGUCAAUUUUCUCUUUCAUUUUCUUAUAAUUGAUUUAGGAUUUUGGUAUAUGUAGGAAAACAACUCAUAUGACAUAUGUACACUAUGAUGUGGCAUUCUAUGUCAAUGAAAUAAAUAUAUCUUGACAAAAACUUGCACAUUUUAUUAGUACAGAAUGCGAUUGUAACAAUGUAUAUGUGUCAUAUAAAUCAUUCUCGUAACCAAACUCUUAACCGUCUCUUUGACAUUAAUGACUUGUUGUCACAGCCCGUCCCGAGAUUUUAUUAUCGAGGUUGUGAAAUGACGAAAUUACCCUUGUCGGUUACUAAGGUACGUGUGGCAUUAUUUGAAUAAAUACGUACUCUCCUAAAGUCUUGGAAAAUAAUUGGAGUUGGAUUAAAAGUUUGGUAUGUAUGUUUUGUGUGGUUAGGGAUUAAAUAUUGGAAUGUAUGGUUUUUGUUGGACCACACACAUGCACAGGACCCCCUUUCCUUUCCCCCGUGCUCUCUCUCUCCUCUCUGUUUCAGUCUCUCUCUCCCUCUCGACUCGUACGGACGAGGCACCAAAACCCUCCAACCUUCACGGAUUGACGCCAAAAAGGUAAGUUUGUGAAUCCUUGCAAGCUUGUGAGUUCAUUGGUGCAAUUUUUAGAACUUGGAACCCUCGAUAUCACGUGAAACCCGAAACCCAUUUUGAGAUCACUGUUCAUGCACAUGUGAAUGGUUGGA
rnacentral:lncRNA from 1 species